rnacentral:tRNA from 1 species
GCCUCUGUAGCUCAGUGGUAGAGCGUUACCUUGGUACACUUGGGCUUGAUCUUUUACAAAAAGGUAAAGGUCGCGAGUUCAACUCUCGCCAGAGGCU